rnacentral:lncRNA from 1 species
GUGCAUUAAUCCCCUGAUAGGGAUUAAUUGGGUGAUAGCUGUAGGCGGGAGGUGGGUCACUGGCGCGUAACUUUGGGGUAUAUAUUUUGUCCAUGGUGAGGGGAACUGUUGCUCUCUCUGCUUCCUGGUACCAUGUCCUGAGCCACUUUCCUCCACCACCUUCUUCUACCAUGAUCUUCUCUCUCAUCUCAGGCCCUGAGGAGAGGAGUUGGCCAUCUUUGGACUGAGACCUCUGAAACCAUGAGAGCUAAGUAAACUUUUCCUCCUUAAAAUUGUUCGUGUCAGGUCGUUUACUUGCAGCAACCAAAGCUGACCCCAAAUGGCUUUAACUUCACCUGCUGUGCAUAAAACCAGCUCCUGGUUGGAGGUGUGUGUGUGCCUGAGCUCGUGUGUCUUUGUAUCAUGAGAAAUUGAUGUGUGAUCCAGGUAUGCAAAAUGUCCUGGCUUCUCAAGGAAAUGGAACCUACUAAUGAGAAAUAGAACAUUCAGAUAUCAACAAUAAAGACUGUGCUGAUAUCACUGUCAGGAGAAAUUGCGGCCACAAAGACCCAGAAGAGACAGGGUUUCCACGUCUGACUUGACACAUGUUGUGGGACACACUCUCGCUUAUUUGUUAGAUUAACCCCUCCCUCUUUAAUUUUUCAAAUGCUGUAUGGCAAUUACAUUUGGUGUUGUAUUUAAUACGUAGCAUAUUUGUUCUUAGACUUUUGUGACUCCUGCUAGUUAACUGCACAGUUUUCUAUUAGUGUGAAAUUCUACUUACUGCAGUACCAGGAAGUUUUCCUAUUGUUUUGACUGUAUUGCUUCUUUCUGGACUCCUAGGUUUGCCUCAAGAAAUUCAAAUUAUGAAUCUCGGUGACUCCGUAUUCAUUAGAGGAGAGUGUUCUGGUUUAAACACAUCUUCUCCUUUGUUCCUUGACAAAGGAAUGAGUCUUUGGAACUGGGUUGAUGUUGAAGAGUGGGGUGCCCAUCCCAGGCCCAUGGCUGGUUUUCAAGGAGUUGAGGAUGUUUCUGUGAUGGACAAGGAAAGGACUGUGUACUGUGUAUCCCCACUGUGCACUAAUGACACAAAUUCUCCUCCUGUCCCACCCACAGAGCCGGCUUCUUGUUCUGUUGAGGUGCAGAGGUGCCAUGUGCUCUCCCUGGCCGUGCUUGCCCAUCUUUUUAGGUUCCACAAAGCCUUCCCCAGCCCAACCUCCCCAGGGCUCUGUGGUCUAACCCCAGCUUAGUAGGCACGUUUGUCCUGUGUUACUCAUUACUUGUCUCUGGUGUAUUGACAUCAUGCCUCUACCUGAUAUGUAAAUCUGAGAGCAGAAAUGGCCCCUCUUGGUUGUCUGCAGUACACCCCACCAGCCUGCCAUGCUAGAGACACCCAGUCAUCACCUGCUGAUCAUUAUUUCCUAUUUGAGGGAGGUGAGGGGCGUAGAGUGAAUUUUCAUAAUUAAGCUUAUGGAAUAAUCUUAAAUGUGGAAUCAUAAAGACAUUGACAAUCAAGCUGACAUAUGCAUUGAGGUCUGUUCAAAUUCUUGUCUUCCCUCCUUUCCCUCAAAUAUGUGCUGGGCAUCUGGUAGGUCAGGAGAGGCAAUCUUGUAACAUGUGGCCAACGCUAUAUUAGAGGUAAGUCACAGGAGAUGGGAUGUGAGGGGAAAGGGUGAGAGAUUCCUCUGAUAGUUCUUUCUUACCUUUGCCUUCCUAUUGACUUUGGUGAGUAAUUCUUUCCAAGAAUGGGUUUUGUGGGGCUGGGGCUGUAGCUCAGUGGUAGAGUGCUUGCCUAGCAUGUGUGAGGCACUGGGUUCAAUCCUCAGCUUCACUUAAAAAUAAACAAAUAAAAUAAGAAUGGGUUUUGUAACAUUAUGGAGUAAUGGUUUCUACCCUGAUUAUCCCUUAGCACUGGAAGAAGCAGUCUCCAUGUGGUUUUAGAGUCCAAGCCCUGGAGUUAGAUCUGGGUUCUAGUCACAAUGCUAGGUGACCCUGGGAAAGCUUCCUAACCUCCCCAAGCCUCAGUUUCCUCAAAUGAAACAUGGGGAUCACCAUUAUCUAAUUAGAGGAGAAAGAUGGGAAUUCAAUAAGAUGAUGAAGGAAUUAGGGGGUCUGGUGCAUCGUGAAUACUUAGUAAAUGUUGGCUGUUAAAAUAUAAUUAGAAAAUGUUCAUUCUGGCUUUAUCCUUUCUUCUCCUUCUGCCUAGAACUCAUGUCCCUGUCCUGUGGUACCAUAUGUACCAUUGAGCCUUAGAGAAAUGUCUUGUUGGAUUCUUGUAUUUCAGUGCCAAGGGAACUGUUCAGAUAGGUGGAAGACGGACGGUGCACAGGAGCUUCGAGUACUGCUGUGGGUCCGCUUUCCAUCACAUCCGCUGCCUUUUCUGGGCUUACUCUUUACCAAGUGCAGAGCCAAGAGGUGAGGAUUUCUG